rnacentral:rRNA from 1 species
GACGAACGCUGGCGGCGUGCCUAAUACAUGCAAGUAGAACGCUGAAGGAGGAGCUUGCUCUUCUGGAUGAGUUGCGAACGGGUGAGUAGCGCGUAGGUAACCUGCCUGGUAGCGGGGGAUAACUAUUGGAAACGAUAGCUAAUACCGCAUAAGAGUAGAUGUUGCAUGACAUUUACUUAAAAGGUGCAAUUGCAUCACUACCAGAUGGACCUGCGUUGUAUUAGCUAGUUGGUGGGGUAACGGCUUACCAAGGCGACGAUACAUAGCCGACCUGAGAGGGGGAUCGGCCACACUGGGACUGGGACACGGCCCAGACUCCUACGGGGGGGAGCAGUAGGGAAUCUUCGGCAAUGGACGGAAGGCUGACCGAGCAACGCCGCGUGAGUGAAGAAGGUUUUCGGAUCGUAAAGCUCUGUUGUAAGAGAAGAACGAGUGUGAGAGUGGAAAGUUCACACUGUGACGGUAUCUUACCAGAAAGGGACGGCUAACUACGUG